UGGGGCCUGCGGCGGUCGCCCCGCAUCUCUCUUAAAGGCUUGCGAGCCCAAGCACCGU
rnacentral:ncRNA from 1 species